UAAGGAAUAUUGGUCAAUGGACGGAAGUCUGAACCAGCCAUGCCGCGUGCAGGAAGACGGCCCUAUGGGUUGUAAACUGCUUUUGUACGGGAAGAAUGGCCACUACGUGUAGAGGUUUGACGGUACCGUAAGAAUAAGGAUCGGCUAACUCCGUGCCAGCAGCCGCGGUAAUACGGAGGAUCCGAGCGUUAUCCGGAUUUAUUGGGUUUAAAGGGUGCGUAGGCGGAAGAAUAAGUCAGUGGUGAAAGUUUGCAGCUCAACGGUAAAAUUGCCAUUGAAACUGCUGUUUUUGAGUACAGGAGAGGUAGGCGGAAUGUGUAGUGUAGCUGUGAAAUGCAUAGAUAGUACACAGAACACCGAUUGCGGGGGCAGCUUACUGGAGUGUAACUGACGCUGAGGCACGAUAGCGUGGGGAUCAAACG
rnacentral:rRNA from 1 species